rnacentral:rRNA from 1 species
CCUACGGGUGGCAGCAGUGAGGAAUAUUGGUCAAUGGACGAGAGUCUGAACCAGCCAAGUAGCGUGAAGGAUGACUGCCCUAUGGGUUGUAAACUUCUUUUAUAUGGGAAUAAAAUGUUCCACGUGUGGGAUUUUGUAUGUACCAUAUGAAUAAGGAUCGGCUAACUCCGUGCCAGCAGCCGCGGUAAUACGGAGGAUCCGAGCGUUAUCCGGAUUUAUUGGGUUUAAAGGGAGCGUAGGUGGAUUGUUAAGUCAGUUGUGAAAGUUUGCGGCUCAACCGUAAAAUUGCAGUUGAAACUGGCAGUCUUGAGUACAGUAGAGGUGGGCGGAAUGCGUGGUGUAGCGGUGAAAUGCUUAGAUAUCACGAAGAACUCCGAUUGCGAAGGCAGUUCACUGGACUGCAACUGACACUGAGGCUCGAAAGCGUGGGUAUCAAACAGGAUUAGAUACCCCUGUAGUC